GGGCAGUUAGCUCAGAUGGAUAGAGCGUUGGCCUCCGGAGCCAAAGGCCACAGGUUCGAAUCCUGUACUGCCCGCCA
rnacentral:tRNA from 1 species